rnacentral:ncRNA from 1 species
CGCCCUCUCAGUUCUGGCACGGCCCUCGGAUCGCCAGAACUUUCAGCCGGCUCCCCUGAGCCGGCUUUUUUU